UCUCAUGUGCACAAUGUUACUGCGUAUCUCUUAUUUAGUGCUUGAAUUUGCGUGCAUAUUACAUGAUUUACAACGGCUAGAAUUCUGAUUGGUUUAAAAACUGUGUCCAAAUCCUUUGGUGGUCUGUCCUAACGGAUUAUUUUUCAAGAUUUUGUGUUUAUGUAAAUAUAAAUGGAAGAUUGUAAUAUCAGAUGACUUGAAUAACCUGGUUUUGCGUCGGACGUAACACGUGAAUGACGUAUGAUAGAGAUAAGGACAUAACGACACGACACAGACAUAUCUACGUAUCUAUCAAUUGCUGAUAUCAUCACGUAUACAUGUAUGAAUGAUAGAAUUUUAUGAUCGAUACUUCUCUGACAUUUCAGACAUGAUAAUGUAAAAUGUGCAUUUUGAAUAAAUACAAAAACGUCACAUCGUCUGUGUUCACUAAAGCCAGAUAGCUGCAGAAAGCAAGUUCUACAACAUACUUAACACAAAUCUUAUAUCGUUUUCUUACGCUGCUCACGGUUGCGUCGAAAAUGUAAAACCUUCGAGUCUCACCUCUGAGGAGCCACCGAGGAAAUCGGGAAUAAAUUCUUGAUUAAUAUAUUCACCGAGACCUCCAGAUCCCUGUUCUUGAUAAUCUGUACCACAAUAAAAGAUGAACUUUUUUCUGGUGUUUUCGUCUGCAAUUACGGUCUCCAUAAAUGCCGCAUGUUUAAACCUUCCAAGUCUAUUAACAGAGUCCAUUGCGAAACUGGAUGCCCCCAAACAGUCGUAGCUUCC